AUUGACUGACACAUUCCUGUACAAAUCUAAGGAAAAAUUUAUAAUUUUGACUAUAAAUCAAUAAAUGGGUUAUUCUUCUAUCACAUUGUGUACAUUGUGUUUGUGAUACAUCCUUUGAGUUAGUAAGAAUGUCAAUUCAUAUUUUUAAGAGUUGAAAAUUUAAGGUAUGAAUUUACAUAACUAACUCAUAAACAGCUCCUGACCAUAGGAUCAUCACGAGGAUGGUGAUCGAUCCGGAAGGUUGGUGUACGAUCGCUUCCUUAGGAUAGAUGUGUCUUGAGUCUACGGUGUGGAGACACCAAAGUGAGAGUGCAGAUAUU
rnacentral:lncRNA from 1 species